UAGGUAUAGCAGGUGAUAGCUUGAGCUAAAACUCAAGAGGUAAAGUCCGGGCUGCCGUAGGACACGGUUCCAUCUAACGGAUGGCCACGGUAACGUGAGGGACAGUGCAACAGAGAGUAGACCGCCUCGAAAGAGGUGAGGGUGAAACGGUGGGGUAAGAGCCCACCAGUCUCUUAGGCAACUAAGAGAGCUAUGUAAACCCAACCGCGCAGCAAGAAACAGAUGGUUAGCGUCCUACAUCGCUAUUGUUUCGCUAAAGACUCUGAGUGAUCAGAGUAUUAGAUUAAUUAUUGCCAUAUCCAGAACCCGGCUUACGCUAUACCUAGUUU
rnacentral:RNase_P_RNA from 1 species